UAGGGAAUCUUCGGCAAUGGGGGGAACCCUGACCGAGCAACGCCGCGUGAGUGAAGAAGGUUUUCGGAUCGUAAAGCUCUGUUGUUAAGGAAGAACGAGUGUGAGAAUGGAAAGUUCAUGCUGUGACGGUACUUAACCAGAAAGGGACGGCUAACUACGUGCCAGCAGCCGCGGUAAUACGUAGGUCCCGAGCGUUGUCCGGAUUUAUUGGGCGUAAAGCGAGCGCAGGCGGUUAGAAAAGUCUGAAGUGAAAGGCAGUGGCUCAACCAUUGUAGGCUUUGGAAACUGUUUAACUUGAGUGCAGAAGGGGAGAGUGGAAUUCCAUGUGUAGCGGUGAAAUGCGUAGAUAUAUGGAGGAACACCGGUGGCGUGAGCGGCUCUCUGGUCUGUAACUGACGCUGAGGCUCGAAAGCGUGGGGAGCGAACAGG
rnacentral:rRNA from 2 species